rnacentral:lncRNA from 1 species
UGCUUUUUGGACCAUCAAUAAGUAAAACUAUUUUUAAUAUUGUUGAUUUCAUCUAUAUCAAAACCCUUCUAAAAUUCUAUUUAGUGUAGGUUAUAUAUGCACACACAUAUAUGUGUAUGUUUAUAAAAACAUAUUAUAGGUACAUCAUAGUAUUUCACAAUUUUUGAAUACAAAUUUUUAUAUGUGAGGGUUGCCCAAUACAUUUUUGCUGCUGAGACCUGGGACAAAAACAUUUUAAAGACCACUGUCUGGGCUAUAUAAUCUGGUGCUCAUAAAAUAAAGGAAAUGUAAAAUUAGCAAGCAUUUAAAACAUGUAAUAUUUUCCUGUCUAACCUCUUUCCCCUGGCAACACAAUUCUGGAGUGGUAGUGAAGAGUCUGAGAACCAGUGUAUUACUUAACGCUGUGUCAAGCCCCACCCAGAGUGCCCUUCAAGUAUCCCUAGAUUUCCAAAAGAAAAAUAUGUUUCUCUCUCCCCAGAGAGGAUGAUAACGAAAAGUCUGAAAUCUCCCCCUUCCCUAAGAUGGCAAGUCGAAUAGAAAAACAGAAGGCUGACCCUCUUCAUUUGAAUGAUUCCACUCGAGAGGAGGAUGGAGAGGCUGGUGAUUUUCCUCAUAACGACUUCAUGCACUGAUCUCACAGCAGGCAUUUCUCUGAAAUGAUAAGGAAGUCUUCCAACAGCUGCUCCUGGAGGUUGUGGCUCUGGCCAGGGUUUCCUUCCCAGCAGCAAAUGCUUCCCCUUCUGGUCUUACUGAGUCCAAACUCUUACUGCUCACUGUACCUACCACAUGCCAAUACAUCGAGAGAUGAGUUGUUGGAGCAAGGGAUGAAAACUUCACUCAAAAAGCCAGCAGACCCAGAAGGUGUUAGACUAGCAUCCCAAAGAACCAUCUUACCGGAGUUAGAAUCCAGGCUUCUUUUAUCUUAAAAGGGGAGCAGGUGUGGUUGGUCGUUGCAAACUUCUUGGUGUCAGAAGUCUUGGUUCUUUCAGUGGUCCUCAUAGAUCACUUCCCAGUGUUCCUGUAAACCUGAAUAAGACAAAUGCUAUUCUUUGUUCUGCAACUUUUUAUCUCUGUAUGAAUGGAAAAAGUAAGUGGUAUAUCCUAGAAGGUCAGAGCCUUGAAAAUGGACUAUCCUGUAGCAUUCACGCUAUAGGCAACUUUCUUAUCUUGUAGCAAAAGCAAUGGAUACAAAGGUUAAAGGAAAAGAAACAGAUCCAAUAUGGAGUCAGAUUUGUUCUUUUCUAUUACACUGGCAGCAGCUCCUGACCACAACUCCUACCAGAAAUGAGAAUUUCUUCUCUGUGAACAGUUGUUGGAUUCCUCAGAUCCUGGACACCUAUGUACAACCUUUAAGGAGCACCUUAAAGAAGUGACCCCUAAAAGUAUCUCUUCAUGGUCAUACCUAUUUAAAAAUAUUUUUUCCUGAUAUUUAAAACUUGGAAAACACAGAAAAUGAUAAAGACAAAAUUAAAAAUAACCAUAAUGGAAAAAAACGAACUCAACAUAAUAUUGCUGUUAACUUUCAAUCAUGACUCCUUCCAGUCUUCUCUUAGUAUAAAAUAUAAUUUUAUUAUAUAGAUAAAUAUAAUUACAUAGCAUAUAUGAUUUUGCAUUCUAAUUAUUUCUCUCCAUGGAAUGCACUGAAUAUUUACCCUGUCAUUAAAAGCAUGUUCAAAAUACUUUUUAAAUAACUACUUAAUAGAUCACUGUAUCACUGAAUCUUAUUUAACUAUCUCACCUCUGUUGGAUGUUUGUUUGGGUUGUUUUCAAUGUCAUACUCUAAUUGUAUCUAAGGAACAUCUUGGCCUAAUGAAUUCUUGCUAACAAUUUUAAGUUCAAAUUUCAGGUUGAGUCCUUGAGAUGAAUUCUUGAAAGUAGCCACACUAUAUUGGCAGCUUUUGAUACAAAGGGACUGUACAUUUCUGCCAGGAGUCCUGCCUCACUACACCCACAUUCACUCACUGCAUUUUCAUAGAUUUUGAAUAAAUAUUGCUAAUUUCAUAGGGAAAAUGAUAACACUGCUAUAAUUUCUAUUUCUUUAAUCACUACUUAGAUUGAAACAUUUUUGUGUUUUCCUAAAUAAUUUUUGUAUAAGAAAAGUAGCACAGACUGUGUCAGAAAUUGCAAAAUGGAAGAGUUUAAAUAAAAAUCAUUUGUAAUUGCACAGCUAAAAGAGCUCAUAUGCAAUAAUAUUGCUUUUUAUUUUUCAAAUCUUAUUCUAAUGAGAAUUUAUUUAUAUAGGUGUUAUAUGCAUAUUUGGAUCAUAUAAUAUAUAUAACUUAGAAGCCUGCUUUUAAUUUUUUCAGCAUUUUAAAUUUACUGCUUCUUAAAAGUAAUUUGAAAAUGUGACUUUAAAUAGCUACCUAACUUCCUGUCCAUUGAAGGUACAAUAAUUUCCUCAAAUAUUACCAUUUUGUUAGGCAUCUAGUUAUGAACUUUGAUUACAAAUAAUGAUAUUUUCUUGUUUUUUAGCUGGCAUUUGAGUCCAAAUAAAUUUGAAUUUCAAAAUGCUUAUUGGGUGCUAUAAUCUGCUUCUAUGGAUUAUCAGUUUAUAUCCCUUCUCUCAUUUUCUAACUGGAAUUAACUGGUUUUUUUAAAUUUAGUUGUAACAGCUUUUUAGAUUUUAAAAAUAUUAUGUGUCAUGCAAGUGUUCCAGACAGCCUAUAUUUUUCAAGCCAUGUUGAAAAGCUAACUCCUGGAAAAGGGAACCCUCCUACACUGUUGGUGGGAACGCAAAUUGGUGCAACCACUAUGGAGACAGCAUGGAGUUUCCUUUAAAAAAACUAAAUAUAGAAAUACCAUAUAAUCCAGCAAACCCACACCUAGGCAUAUAUCCAGAGAAAGCCAUAAUUUGAAAAGAUACAUGCACCCCAGCAUUUACUGCAGCACUAUUUACAGCAGCCAAGACAUGGAAACAACCUAAAUGUCCAUCAACAGGGGAAUGGAUAAAGAUGUCGUACAGAUAUACAAAUGGAACAUUACUCAGCCAUAAAAAAGAAUGAAAUAAUGCCAUCUGCAGCAACAUGGAUGGAACUAGAGAUUAUCAUUCUGAGUGAAGUAAACCGGACAGAGACAGACAAAUAUCACAUGAUGUCACUUAUAUGUGGAAUCUAAUAAAAAUGACAAAAAAGAACAGACUUAUAAAAGAGAAACAAACUUUGUUUUCAAAACCCAUCUUAUAGUUGUUACCAUAGGGGAAAUCAUUGUAAGGGGUAGGAAUUAGGAGGGUGGGAAUAAUAUAUACACACUACUGUAUAAAAUAGAUAGUUAACUAGAACCUUCUGUAUAGUACAGGGAAAUCGCCUAAAUAGUUUGUAAUAAGGUAUAUGGGGGAAGAAAAAGAAUGGAUAUAUAUUUAUGUAUAACUGAUUCACUUUGCUGUAUACAUGAAACUAAUACAACUCUGUAAGUCAUUUAUACUCCAAUAAAAUAAAAUUUAAAAAGAGAAGAAGAAGAAAAAAAAAGAAAAGCUAACUCCUCAAUGACCCUAUGCUACACCGUUUAGAAAUUAAGAGUAAGACUGAGUGGCUGCUUAGUUCUUUUUCUCACCUCCUCCUAUCUAUGCAACCCAUUUCUUUUCUCUGCAUCCACAUCCUUUAAAUUCCAAGCUUUGCACAAUCCUAUCACUUUGUGUUGGUAACAGGCAGCUCCGGAUCAAGGGAAAUGAAUGCGUCACUAAGACUCAAAGAAGAGAGCGCUCAAUGACAAACGUGUCAAAAACAAUAAGACAUCUUUCCUCGGGGUCUUAAAAUCUCUCUCUCCCAAGAUGCUCUCCUUUCUCCAACGCCAAGAAGAUAACAGACCAUUUUAUUUUUAACUGAUAUGUACCAAAUAUCUACACUUUCUGAUUGUUGCCUAUUUUAAGCUUGUAAGCAUUAGUAAAUGCAGAAUAUAUAUUUUCUAGGGUGACUUUUUUUUUUUUUAAGGAGUGUGCAAACAUGGCUUUUGCUAGCAUUGUUUUAUAGUGGAUAGAAAGCUCUCCGUAAACUUUUACAUUCUCUGCAACAUGUUUUGUUAGAAAAGCCUGUGGUAGUAUCUAAAAUUGUAUAAAUCAUCAGUUUUUAAUCUGGCAGGAAGUAGAUAGUGGCCCAUUAAACUUUCGUAAUUAAAUUUUCCCUGUACUCCCCCAUAGAACCAUUAUCUGAGUUUUCUAAUUAACACAAGAGGAGGGAGUCAAUUCAGAUUGAUGGGAUCUAGAGCCAUCCCCUUUCAUUUUAAUGACCUUUAAUAAACUUUUAUUACUAUUGAUAUUGAUAAUUAUAAUACACCCUUUAAUUCUGCAAUGUGAUUCUAAGGACCUUUUCAAAAAUUGCAAAAUUCACCUUUAAAGCUAGAGUAGGCAGAAUUAUUAUAUUCCCAGAUGCUGAGUAUUUAAGGCAGUGACUUUACGUGAGCCAGAGGGUAGACAGGCAUCGUGUCAGUGGCUUUUUCUUCCCUCGCCCACAGUGCAGGACCUCAGUCAGAGGUCCCCUUACAAAGCCUCCAAUUUUCGGAGCACAGCUCUCCUCCAAAGGCUGGCAAUCAGGCUCAAUUGGAAGGUAUUUCAUGAUAAACAAUCCACAGGGAGCCAGGUGGAGUUUACUAAAUUUGUUUAUUUUCCAUUGGAAAGGCACGGAGACCAGGAGGCUAGAUGCCCAAGAGAAUAAGUCAUUAGGCAAGGGAGACUGGUCGCCCAGAAACUGUUUAGGUUAUUUUGCCAGAGUUUUACAUAAUUCUACCUUCUCUUAGAGCUGCCGUUCCUGUCAUUAGAAGCGAUUCUUCUGUGAAAAUAUGAAUGUGUUGAUAUGAACACAUAACCACUGAGAACCCGUCUGUCUUUUCAUUUGCUUCAGAAACUGAAGUACCAAGACGCUAAGUUCCAGGGGUCACAUGUCAAGUAAAUGACGGGGCUAGGCUUUAGCUAGUGCUGUUGCUUAUCAAGCUAUACUGUCUGCAAAACUGUCAUGGGUAACUUAUGCUGGACUUCUUGUGUCUUGGUUAACGAAAUGAAAAGUUGUGCGGUUGAGGAGUUCCCGCAGUGGUGCAGUGGGAUUGGGGGAGGCAGCUCUGCAGCGCCAGGAUGCCAGUUUGAUCACUGGCUCAGCGCAGUGGGUAAAAAGACCCCGUGUUGCCACAGCUGUGGUGUAGGUCACAACUGUGGCUCAGAUCCAAUGCCUGGCCCGGGACCUCCAUGUGCCGCUGGGCAGCCAAAAAUAGGAAAAAGAAAAGUUGUGAGGUUGAAAUCAACUCACCUUGUGGUAUUUAGGGGAUACUGAGUUCCAUAGUCUGGUAAUGUCCUCAUUCAUAAAGUGGGAACUAAAAUAUAUUUAUGCCAUACAACUAUUGUGGAGAUUAAAUGAGAUAAGGUAUAUAACAUGCUAAGCAGUAUGCCUGGUUCAACAAAUUUACCUCUCAUUUUAAUUGUAAAUAUUGUAUUCAUAGUGCCUCACCAGUUCUUUUUUUUCAACUUCACUUCUUCUUUUCAAAAUUCAGGUGUUUGUGUUUCGAUAUCUUAAUAGAUGGGAAAAAAGUAUAUAUAUCAAAAAUAAAAGUCUAAGUGUUCCCAUUGUGGCUCAGUAGGUUAUGAACCCUAUGCCAAAGUCACAGCAAUGCCAGAUCCGAGUUGUGUCUGUGACCUACACCACAGCUCACAGCAAUGCUGGAUCCUUACCCCCACUGAACAAGGUCAUGGAUCAAACCCACAUCCUCCUGGUAAUAGUAGUCGCGUUCAUGAACCACUGAACCACAACGGGAACUCCAAGUUUUGUUUAGUUUUUAAUAACUCUCCUCUACUUGCCUCUGGAAAACCUCUCUUCCUAGGGUCUGGCUGCUGAUGUCUCUAUAGUUUUUUACUAUUUUAAUUUUUUAUUAGAAUACAGAUUUUAAAAAUAAUUAAAAAUCACAAGUUGGCCUGGUUUCUAUAGCACCGUGGUCAGCAAAUAAAAGGUUGUGUUCACACGAGAUUGUGUUCAUGUACAUCUCUCUGGAGAAGCUUCCUCUUUCACUGACAGAUGUAUGUGUGGGAUGGGGAAUGAGUGGGCUUGGAUCCUGUGUUGCCAUGGCUAUGGUGUAGGCCAGCAUUUUGCAGGUCUUAUUUGACCACCAGCCUGGGAACUCCCAUAUGCCACAGCUGCG